ACUGGCGGCGUGCUUAACACAUGCAAGUCGAACGAAGCACCUCGCCCGAUGAAAUGGAGUGCUUGCACAAAGUGGAAUCAAUUGAGGUGACUGAGUGGCGGACGGGUGAGUAACGCGUGGGUAACCUGCCCUAUACAGGGGGAUAGCAGUUGGAAACGACUGAUAAUACCGCAUAAGCGCACAGGACCGCAUGGUCUGGUGUGAAAAACUCCGGUGGUAUAGGAUGGACCCGCGUCUGAUUAGCUAGUUGGUGAGGUAACGGCUCACCAAGGCGACGAUCAGUAGCCGACCUGAGAGGGUGACCGGCCACAUUGGGACUGAGACGCGGCCCAAACUCCUACGGGAGGCAGCAGUGGGGAAUAUUGCACAAUGGGCGAAAGCCUGAUGCAGCGACGCCCGCGUGAGUGAUGAAGUAUUUCGGUAUGUAAAGCUCUAUCAGCAGGGAAGAUAAUGACGGUACCUGACUAAGAAGCACCGGCUAAAUACGUGCCAGCCGCAGC
rnacentral:rRNA from 1 species